rnacentral:rRNA from 1 species
AUGGACUUGCCUAAAUUUCUUGCCACUGUGUUACUGAUCUGUCUUCUCACCUAUGAAUCCUAUGUGGACGCAGCAUCGGAGGAACAAGAUUUUCUAAGAACUUGUUCGUCUCAUCGCUGCAGCAAACAUGGACCCGAGAUCCGGUUCCCGUUCCGGCUUUCGAUCGACCCACCAUCGUGUGGCGCACCAGGCAUGCAGCUGUCAUGCUCCGGGCAUGACACCAUCCUGGAUCACCAUGUUCUUGGGUCUUGCAGAGUGACCGCGAUCUAUUACAGGCACCGUGUCAUCAACGUCAUCCCGCUUGUGGAAUCAUCGAUGGAAUGCCCACUUCAGAAGCUCAUCUCAACAAAUUUAGAAACUGAUGUGUACAAACAACCUCAAUCAUCACAAGUUACGACCCUGGUACGUUGUUCAACUGAUUUCAUACCAGCGGAUCCAUACAGUAUAGCUGGCCCAGCUUCUUGUCUCAGUAACAACGCUACCCAAUUCUGGUAUUUGGCAUCAUUUUCUGCAUCCAUUACUGAUCUCCCAUGGAACUGUGUGGCCAUUAGUAAAGUCAUCCCAAUACCCUUCACCUAUGAUGAACAUGGCCCUAACUCAGACCCGGACACCUUCAAAGAAAAAGCAAAGGCAGUCGUCAACUUUGGUGAGACAACCUUCACUUGGCACCUCACUACCAUUACCGAUGCCUGCCAACAGUGUGAACAUGAAGGUCGACGCUGUGGAUUUAGCACACAAAGGCGUCAAGCAUUCUGCCAGCAACAUGGUAUUGUGUUAUGUCCCUAG